rnacentral:rRNA from 1 species
UACGGGGGGAGCAAGCGUUGUUCGGAUUUACUGGGCGUAAAGGGCGCGUAGGCGGCCUCUGCAAGUCGACUGUGAAAUCUCCGGGCUUAACCCGGAACGGUCAGCCGAUACUGCAGGGCUAGAGUGCAGAAGGGGCAACUGGAAUUCUCGGUGUAGCGGUGAAAUGCGUAGAUAUCAGGAGGAACACCAGUGGCGAAGGCGGUACUCUGGGCCUUACCUGACGCUGAGACGCGAAAGCGUGGGGAGCGAACCGG